rnacentral:ribozyme from 14 species
UUUUUUUUUUUUUUUUUUUUUGCCACUUCUGGCACAAACGUAAUUUGGAGGGACACAUCUAAAGAAGAAAAGAAUAAGAAGAAUACUGAAUGGAUUUGUCAUU